AAUACUGCAAGUCGUACGCACUGGGCCCAACUGAUUGAUGGGCUUGCACCUGAUUGACGAUGGAUCACCAGUGAGUGGCGGACGGGUGAGUAACACGUAGGUAACCUGCCCCGGAGCGGGGGAUAACAUUUGGAAACAGAUGCUAAUACCGCAUAACAACAAAAGCCACAUGGCUUUUGUUUGAAAGAUGGCUUUGGCUAUCACUCUGGGAUGGACCUGCGGUGCAUUAGCUAGUUGGUAAGGUAACGGCUUACCAAGGCGAUGAUGCAUAGCCGAGUUGAGAGACUGAUCGGCCACAAUGGAACUGAGACACGGUCCAUACUCCUACGGGAGGCAGCAGUAGGGAAUCUUCCACAAUGGGCGCAAGCCUGAUGGAGCAACACCGCGUGAGUGAAGAAGGGUUUCGGCUCGUAAAGCUCUGUUGUUGGAGAAGAACGUGCGUGAGAGUAACUGUUCACGCAGUGACGGUAUCCAACCAGAAAGUCACGGCUAACUACGUGCCAGCAGCCGCGGUAAUACGUAGGUGGCAAGCGUUAUCCGGAUUUAUUGGGCGUAAAGCGAGCGCAGGCGGUUGCUUAGGUCUGAUGUGAAAGCCUUCGGCUUAACCGAAGAAGUGCAUCGGAAACCGGGCGACUUGAGUGCAGAAGAGGACAGUGGAACUCCAUGUGUAGCGGUGGAAUGCGUAGAUAUAUGGAAGAACACCAGUGGCGAAGGCGGCUGUCUGGUCUGCAACUGACGCUGAGGCUCGAAAGCAUGGGUAGCGAACAGGAUUAGAUACCCUGGUAGUCCAUGCCGUAAACGAUGAGUGCUAGGUGUUGGAGGGUUUCCGCCCUUCAGUGCCGGAGCUAACGCAUUAAGCACUCCGCCUGGGGAGUACGACCGCAAGGUUGAAACUCAAAGGAAUUGACGGGGGCCCGCACAAGCGGUGGAGCAUGUGGUUUAAUUCGAAGCUACGCGAAGAACCUUACCAGGUCUUGACAUCUUGCGCUAACCUUAGAGAUAAGGCGUUCCCUUCGGGGACGCAAUGACAGGUGGUGCAUGGUCGUCGUCAGCUCGUGUCGUGAGAUGUUGGGUUAAGUCCCGCAACGAGCGCAACCCUUGUUACUAGUUGCCAGCAUUAAGUUGGGCACUCUAGUGAGACUGCCGGUGACAAACCGGAGGAAGGUGGGGACGACGUCAGAUCAUCAUGCCCCUUAUGACCUGGGCUACCACGUGCUACAAUGGACGGUACAACGAG
rnacentral:rRNA from 1 species